UCACAAAAAAAAAGCCUAGGUUGCAUUUUGGCGAGAGUCUCACUUUAACGGAGACACUAACUAGGCUAGGUGUAAAGAUAACGAGGCAUUAUCUAAUGAAACAAUGCACAAUCAAUCAGAUCCAUCAGGUCUUUAUCAAUAGCUCGCUGUGUCCUGGACACUGUCUUGACAAACACUAAGUCUAAGUCGGGAAAUGAAGCUCCCUGUUUAUGCCCAGAGUGCUAACGACCUUAAAGAUGGCGGCCAGGGGCUGCAUUAUGCCACCAGGAUCCCCUCUUAAGUAUCAGACUUCAUACAAACACAACCAUUUGAACCCCCGGUGCUGACCACUGUCACGACGCCUGGACUUUUCCAAGUGGUCCGGGCCGUGGCACGUAGUUUAGACAGUAACCCAAGCCAGAACAAACCGAGCGAGCUAAAAAUAUCGACGGUCAACAAUCUGGCUGCUGUGAGGGCUGAGACAGGGGCAUGGGAGGGUCUUUACAUGGGGUUAGACAAGCUGGCACAGGGGUGAAGGGAUGGACAGCUGGGGGGAGAGACUUUGUGCGUGCUAGAACAGAAGACGGAGAGAAAACACGGCAAAAAACAGCAGCGACAAAUUUUUCUUUUUAGGGUAGAAUGUUAGAAAAAGUCAAGGCGGAUGAACACAGACGUGUGUGGAUACUGAAUCCAAAAAGAAAUAGCUAGAAACCCCCCAUCCCCACUUUCUCUGCUUGUUCUCCCCUUCUGUCUUCUCACUUCGCCGCCCCUGGAGGCGAUGAACUUUGCCCUCAGCUACAAGCCUCCAUCAGCAGGCAGUUCUGGGCCCGGCGCCGGCCGAGGAGCCACCAUGGAGAACCUGGAGAAGCAGCUGAUCUGCCCCGUCUGCCUGGAGUUGUUCUCCAAACCCGUGGUCAUCCUGCCCUGCCAGCACAACGUCUGCCGCAAAUGCGCCAGCGACAUCUUCCAGGCAGCCAACCCUCUGUGGCAGUCCCGCGGGCCCCCCAGCGGCACCUUCAGUGGCAGUCGGUUUCGCUGUCCGUCGUGCCGUCACGAGGUGGUGCUGGACCGCCACGGAGUCUUCGGCCUGCCGAGGAACCUGCUGGUGGAGAACAUCAUCGACCUGUACAGACAGCAGGAGUCCACCAGGUUGGUGGACAUGAAGCCCGAGCAGCAGCGGCAGCUGAUGUGCGAGGACCACGAUGAGGAGAAGAUCAACAUCUACUGCCUGUCCUGUCAGACGCCGACCUGCUCCAUGUGCAAAGUGUUCGGCAAACACAAGGACUGUGAGGUGGCACCGCUCAGCAGCGUCUACGCGAGACAGAAGGUGGAGAAUCACUGCGGGAGUGCUUGUUGGUCCGAUGUGGUGCAGUGCAUUGUGGUUGUUGCAGGUGGAGCUGAGCGAUGGCAUCGCCAUGCUGGUCGCCAGCAACGACCACAUCCAGGCAGUCAUCUCCCAGAUGGAACAGAUCUGCCGCACCACAGAGGAGAACGGUCAGCGGCAGAGAGAACAGCUGGCCAGCCGUUUCGACGGCCUGGUGGCCAUCUUGGAGGAGCGGAAGCAGGAGCUGGUGGGGCUGAUCACCAAGCAGCAGGACGACAAACUCAAACACCUUCGAUCGCUCAUCCGCCGGCGGAACGACGACCUGGAGGCCGCGGUGACGCUGGUGGAGUCAGCCAUCCAGUCGAUGGAGGAGCCACAGAUGCCUUUGUUCAUACAGGUUUCAUUCGUCAGGUUGAUCCAUUCUCAGUAUUCCCCAGGUUAUAUCUGCUGCCGCCGUUGACGACGAUGAGCUCGGUGUGCAGAGGCGACGAUGGAAACGGGAGCAGAAAGCCUAGCGGGGGAGGCUCCGUGUCGGGCUCUGCGUUGCCACAAUCCUCCCCUGAGGAGAGCUGGAUCUUUGGUCCUGCAUACCUUUAGACCCUCACACACAACAAACACAUGAUUAAUUCAUGCAGCUGCAGAGCUAAUGAAGAGCAGGCCAGUCGCUCCAGUGCUCUGUAUCGAUCACCCGAUUGAUCACAUGUACAUACGUGAAACAAACAUUGGGAUUCAUUACAGUAAAUCCACUGACUUCUAGACUCACGUCUACCACCAAAUAACAUGUUUUUAAAUGAAGGGUUUAACUGAAACCUAUUAGCCAAUUAGAGUCUUGAUAGCUUUCUCAUCUUGCUGUUUUGGAGGCUUUUUUGCUGAUAAACACAUCUUUUGGUGAUCUAGUCUACACUGUUGGACUCAAAUAAUCAAAAUCGCACCUACAUUACCCACAAUGCACCUUAGUCACUGAGUGACAUCACUGGCAUAGGCAGCAGUCCUCCACAAGACCUUUGAGGAAGCUGAAUUCGCUCAACGUUACGUACAAAGCAUCUUCAAACUCUCCAACUCUUUCGAACCGUAUCUGCCCACAUUAUAACUCACUCAGCAUCCAAUUAGGGAAUCAUACAGUACUCCACAAAACGCUUUCUUGUCACUUGGUUUAAUACAAUGUCACGUGGUUUCAGGAUUGAUAGGUAGGAACGACACGAAGGAACGUUGAGUCAAUGAACCCCGUGACCUGUAAAUCCAUGGAUGCACGUGUUAAAGAGGAGCUCUUGACGUCACUUGAGGGUCAAAGAACGUGACCAAAGUUAAAAAGUUAGUUAAACUUCACGGCAGAUGGAUGGACGGUCGUCCCUGAAGAGACGGGCAGGUUGCUAUUAAAUCCAGCAUCCUCAACCGCUGAUGCAACGUCUCUGCGUCACUCCGUCUCCCAUGAGGAAAGUGUGUGUUCGUGUUCUUCUGUGUGUGUGUGUGUGUGUGUGUGAAGGCAGAAAGUGUGAGCCUCAGGUGUCACUGUUUUAUGUUCAGCCACAGCAGGUGUUAAAGAAGAUAGAGUUGGUGGCAGCAGGUAGUAAACAUGAGCGCCAACGUCAUCCUGGAAAAAAUGGCAGCAGCAGCCAGGGCCUCUAACGUGGAGCGUCCGGAGCUCGGUUAUGAGAGCAUGAGCCACUUUGUCAUCGACACAGACGCCGCCGCCGUCAUGCUGAUGAACAUCGACUUCU